GGGCGAAUCCAGCUUCNUACGGGAGGCAGCAGUGAGGAACUAUUGGACAUGGGUGAGAGCCUGAUCCAGCCAUCCCGCGUGCAGGAAGACGGCCUUAUGGGUUGUAAACUGCUUUUAUACAGGAAUAAACCAUCUUACGAGUAGGAUGUUGAAGGUACUGUAUGAAUAAGCACCGGCUAACUCCGUGCCAGCAGCCGCGG
rnacentral:rRNA from 1 species